rnacentral:rRNA from 1 species
AAGCAGCCAUCAACAAAGAGUGCGUUAAAGCUCUACCCUACAAAAAUAUAAAAACAAUAUGACUCCCUCCCCAUUAACAGGCUAACCUAUAUAUAAAUAGGAGAAUUAAUGCUAGAAUGAGUAACCUGGGUUCUCCCUCUACGACGCAAGCUUACAUCGGCACAUUAUUAACAAAUCAUCAAUAUACAACUAAUCAAACAAGCAGAGUAUUAAGUACAUUGUUAACCCGACAAAGGAGCGUCCAUUAAGAAAGAUUAAAACCUGUAAAAGGAACUCGGCAAACCCGUCAAGGCCCGACUGUUUACCAAAAACAUAGCCUUCAGCAAACCAUAAACAAGUAUUGAAGGUGAUGCCUGCCCGGUGACUCACGUUCAACGGCCGCGGUAUCCUAACCGUGCAAAGGUAGCGCAAUCAAUUGUCCCAUAAAUCGAGACUAGUAUGAAUGGCUAAACGAGGUCUUAACUGUCUCUUACAGGCAAUCGGUGAAAUUGAUCUCCCUGUUCAAAAGCAGGGAUAAACACAUAAGACGAGAAGACCCUGUGGAACUUUAAAACCAGCAACCACCUUAGAUCAUCUACUCACCCACUGGGUUCACUGCCGCAUAAGACACUGGUCUGCGUUUUUCGGUUGGGGCGACCUUGGAGCAAAACAGAACCUCCAAAAAUUAGACCACACCUCUAGACUGAGAGCAACCCCUCAACGUGCUAAUAGCACCCAGACCCAAUAUAAUUGAUCAAUGGACCAAGCUACCCCAGGGAUAACAGCGCAAUCUCCUCCGAGAGUCCGUAUCGACGGGGAGGUUUACGACCUCGAUGUUGGAUCAGGACAUCCUAGUGGUGCAGCCGCUACUAAGGGUUCGUUUGUUCAACGAUUAAUAGUCCUACGUGAUCUGAGUUCAGACCGGAGUGAUCCAGGUCGGUUUCUAUCUAUGAUGAACUCUUCCCAGUACGAAAGGAUAGGAAAAGUGAGGCCAAUACUACAAGCAAGCCUUCGCCUUAAGUAAUGAAAACAACUAAAUUACAAAAGGCUAUCACUCCACACCACGUCCAAGAAAAGGACUA